rnacentral:misc_RNA from 1 species
UUGGUUUGUUACCGGUGGUUGGCUCUCUGCUUUUGCAACAACUUCCACCUGGCAUUCCUCUUCAGUUUUGCGUAUGGGUCGUACCUUGCGCGCUUUUGGUUUCCUGUGUUGCUUACCUAUUAGACGGUAUUGAUGGAUAAUAUUUGUGUUGUUUUGUCUUUGCGUCGUUCGUCGCGCGAGAUAAAUCUUAAGGCUAAUUCUAUGAUCCACUUUGUUGACGUGCAUGCGUCGAUGUCGUGGCUCAUUGAGUUUUGCUUGGUGUCAUGGAUGCAGAAAAUGAUAUGGGCGAGGGGCUCUGCGGUCCUUCUUUGCCCUUGUUGAACGUUGUUACGUCUCUAAGAUGACUCCCUAGCCCGAAUUGGCUCGUACCACCGGGUAGGCGAUGUUGUUGAAGAGAAAUGACGGCGUUCUUGCUUCUCUAAGUCGAACGGCCUUGCCUGCAUGGGCUUGUACCGGCGGGUGGGCUAUGUCGAAGAGGGAUGCUACCUGGUUGAUCCUGCCAGUAGUCAUAUGCUUGUCUCAA